ensembl:lncRNA
GCCGGGCCUGGGCCGGCGGGGAGCGGAUUGGUCGGAAAGUAGGUUAGUGGUGCGACAUUUAGGGAAGGCAGAAAGUAGGUCAGGGACGGAGGUGCCUGUUUACCCGCGCCGGACUCACCGCCGCCGCCGCCGCGGGAUCCGAGUGGGGGCGCGGGCGCGGGCGCUCCCGGCGAGCCACGGUAAAAACCAGUUUUGGUGAGGAUUGGAGAGAGAGAGAGAGAUGAGAAUGACUCCAAACCUCUGACCCUGGCAACUAGAAGAUCAGGAGACCAUGCCCUUACACUGAGAUUGGUGGUGCUGUCUAACGUGCAUGUUUUUGGACCCAAGCUUAACUUUUCAAAUGUGGAAUGCUAGGCCUUCAUUGGGAGAUUUGUCAGACAGGCUUUCACUGGAAUCUUGCCCAGAGGCUGUGUGACCUACAUUGGUGAUGCCAGGUGCCAAAUGUCUGAAUAGCACCUGGCACAGAGGAGUGAUUCUGUGGUUGCUCAUCUGAUUUUAAAUCUUUAUGCAACAGAUGCUCACUUCAAAGCCAGGAUUAGAACUCUUCACGCCUGGCUUGGAAUUCCAGCUCCAUCAGCUCAUUAGAUGCGCAGGCCUGGGAAAAUGCACACGCUCUCUGCAGCCUUGGUUUUCUCCUGGUGCCGGAGAAAGAAGAGUUCCACCUCCUAACACUGCGGCAAGAAUUCAGGGAGAUCGGUCCAUAGGAUGCUUUGCAGAGGUUUGGCGUGGAUUCUUUGACUCAGUGACUGUUUUAUUCAGCACCCGCUCCAAACCAGUCAGCAUUCUAG